UGAGAUUUGGCUCAGUGGCAGGGACCUGCCUGGCAGGCAGGGAGUUCUGGGUUCAAUCCCCAGUACUUCAG
rnacentral:tRNA from 1 species